rnacentral:tRNA from 1 species
UAGGUUUUUAGUUUAAUGGUAAAACAUACUCUUGAUAAGGGUAAAAUUUUAGUUCAAUUCUAAAAUAACCUAU